rnacentral:rRNA from 1 species
UCCUACGGGAGGCAGCAGUGAGGAAUAUUGGUCAAUGGUCGGGAGACUGAACCAGCCAAGCAGCGUGAGGGAUGAAGGUACAGAGUAUCGUAAACCUCUUUUGUCAGGGAACAAAGGCGGGGACGUGUCCCCGGAUGAGUGUACCUGAAGAAAAAGCAUCGGCUAACUCCGUGCCAGCAGCCGCGGUAAUACGGAGGAUGCGAGCGUUAUCCGGAUUUAUUGGGUUUAAAGGGUGCGCAGGCGGUCUGUUAAGUCAGCGGUCAAAGCCCGGGGCUCAACCCCGGCCCGCCGUUGAAACUGGCAGG